GCACCAAUUCCACCUGCAAUACAGGCCCCAUAGAAUGCAAUGGCAGAAGGAAGGGAUCUUCUAGGAAGAAAAUAAUAAUCUGGAAUUUGCCUAAUUUUUGUUGGACGCCUUUUCUUUAUAAUGUUUGUAGCGCUGGGAUUUUUCUGCAUAUCCCCACCCACGGCUUUCCAGUCCACUCCCUUAAAAGGGUCUUUUUGCUCUUCUCCCAUCGCUAUCUCUAGGUUGCCUCUAACUCAACUCUUACAGCCUUCAACCAGAUCGAGGCAGGUAGACGAAAUAGGAAAAUAUACGCUCUGGAGCGACAGCGGCGUGCGGCGGGAAGGGCAGUGGCCGGUAAUGGGAGGGCGGAGGUGGC
rnacentral:misc_RNA from 1 species